GGGCAUGAUGCGGGAGAGCAUGGCGGGCCUUUCAGUCCAGACGCCGUCGCCGAAGGAGCAACCGCCCCGGAAUCUCUCAGGCUGAAAGGACCGCAUCAUGGGC
rnacentral:ncRNA from 2 species